rnacentral:rRNA from 1 species
UACCAGCACCCCGAGUGGUCGGGCCGUUUAUUGGGCCUAAAGCAUCCGUAGCCGGUUCUACAAGUCUUCCGUUAAAUCCACCUGCUCAACAGAUGGGCUGCGGAAGAUACUAUGGAGCUAGGAGGCGGGAGAGGCAAGCGGUACUCGAUGGGUAGGGGUAAAAUCCGUUGAUCCAUUGAAGACCACCAGUGGCGAAGGCGGCUUGCCAGAACGCGCUCGACGGUGAGGGAUGAAAGCUGGGGGAGCAAACCGG